AGCUCCAAUAGCGUAUAUUAAAGUUGUUGCAGUUAAAAAGCUCGUAGUUGGAUCUGAGGAGUGGAGCCAAUGGUUGGUCGCAUGACUACACUGUUGGCUCGGCCUACAUAGUCGGUGAUUGUUUUGGUGCUCUUAAUUGAGUGCCUUAAUUACCCGGCCACGUUUACUUUGAAAAAAUUGGAGUGCUCAAAUCAGGCCUACUGCCUGAACAGAUGUGCAUGGAAUAAUGGAAAAGGACUUCGGUUCUAUUUUGUUGGUUUUCGGAACAUGAAGUAAUGAUUAAGAGGGACAGACGGGGGCAUUCGUAUUGCGGUGGGAGAGGUGAAAUUCUUAGAUCAUCGCAAGACGCCCUACAGCGAAAGCAUUUGCCAAGAAUGUUUCCAUUAAUCAAGAACGAAAG
rnacentral:rRNA from 1 species